AGGCCAGGGCAAUGCCAUCUAGAGUAACUAUAUCUUUAGAUAAUGUGUCUCAGAGGUGUUUGGGACCAAGUAUAAUAACUUCAGUUUUACCAAAACAGGCUGACAUCCUGCACAAACUCAUGAGAAAAAAUUAGGACAUCCCAUGAUAUAUUUAGUUAUUUUUUAAGAACUAAAUAUAUCAAGAUUUCAGUAUUUGAUCUUCUUUCAAACAAUAUCUGUAGAUAAAAGUGAUGUAAUUGAACCAAAAACAAUUAAAAUUUUACUUUGUUACAAUAUAUUUAACAAAAAAUGAACAAAGAUGCCAGUUUCUACUGAGGAAAAGUUACACACCUUACACCCUAUACCCUAAUAGCUUGUAUUGCCCCCUUUGGCUGAAAUAACCUCAAUUAGACAUUUCCUAUAACUGUCUAUCAGUCUCUGACAAGCGUGUAGGAGAAACUACAGUUGUUCACAUAAUCGCAAAAAACGCAAAGUUAGUGUAACAAACAAAAGCUAAGAGUGUGUGUGUGUGUUUGGGGGGGAGGGUGUUAAUGGGGGACAUCCCUGUCCUCCUGUAGGCCUACACUUUUAUAUGACCUAAUAAAUAGAGACUGUAAGCAUUGAAUUAAAUGAUAAAAUCCUAAGACUAUUUAAUGUUGCUGCUAUUCAAGUGUAAAUUAUAUCAUAAUUUUAAAUAAAACAUACAAAAUAAGGCGGAAUCUAAAUAUAGGCCCAAUAGGCAGAAUAAGAAAAAGAUCUGUUUAAAAUAAGAAUAUUUGGGGUAGUGACAACAAUACGCUGCCGUAGGUGUACACGCAUGUUUCAUUCAAUGAAAGUUUCAGUGAUGCCUAGAGGCUGGUGCUCCACGUGACUCUCCUGCACAAUCACACACACACACACACUCACAUAUGCACUGGGGAACAUAGUGUUGUUGGGCAGACAGUCUCGUGUUGUCAUAUUCAGGCUGACCUGCAGAGUAACAGGGUGACUGUUACAGCCGUACAUGCCCACAGGCCAGCACCCUCGCAGGCUUUGGCCUUUCACUCAAUUUUUUACAGCACAAGAACUUCUCCUUUGACGACUGACUGGCAACUGAAGCUACCAUAUUGAAAAAUACAGUAGUUUUGUUCAUAAUUGAUACCUUCAGUAGUGUAAUUUAGCACUGUCAUUCACAUGCACUGGUAUCGUGUAAUAUAUUUAAUUGUCAUAGUUAAUUCAGUAUAGUGUUUGUCAGAUGAGAUUAAUUUUAAGAAUUCCCACAUUUAAAUGACAGCUGGCUUGUCACUCUGCCUUCGAGUGUAGCCAUUCGGAUAAACUAUAGACACAUUGCCUUCUGACAUGAACUACUUCUUUUCUAGCAUAACCCAGCCCUUAUAGCUUUUACUGUACCAGCCACUAGAGGUGUUCCGUACGAACAAAUCUUCCAUCACAGAAUUUUCAAACUGAACUGACUACAGGGCCAUAUGUGAGCUAGGAAGUCAACUAGGGUGCCACCAGCAGGAGGGGCCCCAAAGAGAAAGACAUUUUUUGCAAUUCAUUUAAAAAUGGGUUUUUAAUUAACUUUAGACACCCAAUUGACUUGUAAAAGUCAAACUCAUGCCAAUGCUAGCAUUACCUUGGUAAAUAAGCCCUAUGUUGCAAUGCAAUAUACACCUGAUUUUGAUAGGAGACUGCAGGCAGACUCUGUAUGGAGACACUGGGAGCUGUGCUGACACUCGCUUUCAUAUUGAAACUACUCGCUGACGCUUAUUAUGUGACCCACACAGAUUGGUUUCUCACACCACUGCGUAAGAAUCACAGGCAUUGAAACACAUACAUGGAUGUUCCUUGCAAACAUGUUGUGAACUUCAGAGCCACAAAGAAAUGAGCUGCAGCAAGUAGUCUCAAUUAAUGAUACGACAGCGAGUGUGUAAAUGAUGCGUGAAUAUCUUCUUUGAGUUGUAAAAAUUUAUGUUUUGUAGGUGAACCAUACCUCUAAGGCUGCAUCCAAACAAAGUUUCAUUUAAAAACGGCGUUUUAAAAUGAAAACUAUUUCUGUCCAGAUGACUGUUUCAGAAAUAAUCUCCAUCCAUACUUACACGCCUGAAAACGCAUAUCACAUAACCAUUCACGUACACUGGGCAUGCACAUGCCGGUGUAAACAGGAAGCAGGACAAAAAUAAUGAGGCAGAGAAACGUGACUGCUCUUCACAAAAUCCUCCCAGCUUUUAAAGAGCUCAUAAUAUCUUAUUACCCUACUAGAACACUGCGCUCCCAGAAUGCAGGAUUACUUGUGGUUCCUAGAGUCUCCAAAAGUUAUCAAGCUCCACUCCUGUGGAAUCAGAUCCCAGUUUGGGAGGCAGACACCAUCUCCACAUUUAAGAGUAGGCUUAAGACUUUCCUCUUUGAUAAAGCUUAGUUAUGCUGCUAUAGGCCUAGACUGCCGGUAGACUUCCCAUGAUGGUAAAUGGACUGUACUUGUAUAACGGCUUUCUAGUCUUCCUAGUCUAAGCUUCACACACUACAUAUCACAUUCACCCCCUUCACACACAGAUGGCAUGCUAACUUCUCAUCAGUCCAAAGAAAUUAACUAAUCAUUCACACACCGAGGGCUAUGCCUUGGGGUUCAGUGUCUUGCCCAAGGACACUUCGACAUGUGGGCUGGGCUGACCACUAAGCCACAUCCACCCCGCACUGAGCUCCUCUCUCUCUCCAUCUGUAUGCAUUCUUAUCUACAUUUUCUCUCUCCUGUAGUUUGUGCUUUCUCGUCUCUCUCCCUCUGUCACUUUCAGCACGUAUUUCUGCCUCCGGAGCUGCAGAGUCUGGAUUUAUGAUUGCAAGGCAUCCUCUGUUCCUGCUUGACAAUCUCUACUACAAUUAUUAUUAUUAGUCUUACUACUAUUAUUAUUACAUUAUUAUUCCUGUCAUUAUUAUUACUAUUAUUAUUUUAUUAAUAUUUAUAUUACCACUAUCAUUCUGGUCUGGUUCUGCUCUAGGUUUCUGCCUAUUAAAAGGACGUUUUUCCUUGCCACUGUUGCCAAGUACUUGCUCAUGGUGGGAUUUGUUGGGUCUCUGUAAAUAAUAUUAAAAAGAAUACGGUCUAGACCUGCUCUAUAGGACAAGUGCAAUGAGAUAACUUCUGUUAUGAAUUGGCGCUAUAUAAUAAUAUAUAAUUGAAUUGAAUUGUAUCAAUGUGAAUGUGUUUGUUCCUUAUGGUGGGUGCUAGGGAGUGAAAAGAAAUACACACACUUCUUGCGACAGCACGCUCCCCAUGCACAGCAGUGACCCCCUAGAAAUAAUUACUAUACAUUUGCCAUAGCUGUUUCACCUGCUCAAGCAUAUUUUGAUCUGGUGGCAAAUCCUUCAUAUCUCUGCUUGUCCCCGAUCCAAGUCACUAUUUAGUUUCACUUGCUGCAGCCUGUAAGUGUGCUACUUCCUGUAAGUGUCCAGAGCAGCAAGUAAGAUUAAGAAUGGUUUCUAGUGGUGAUGUUAUUAUGUAAUUUAAAAAAAUUAAAAUCAUUAAGUUAAGUUACCUUAUAUUAUUUCUGUGUUUUCCCUUACAUACAGGUGGAGAAGGAAUGCCCUAUAGGUGUCAUACCAUCACGAGCCUCCAGAACAAUUUCAGUGCUCCUUGUCAUAAAUUCUCCGAGUGUAUGGAACUCGACUGGAGGGAUGAACAGCAUUCUUUUAAAAGAUAUUCCCUCAUUUGGUGAUGGUGAUGGUGGUGGACAGAACUGUCUAAUCCAAAAUCUCUCAUAGGUGUUCAGUUGAGUUGAGAUGUGGUGACUGAAGGCCAAAGCAGAUGAUUUAUGUGAUUUUCAUACUCAUCAGUUCAUUCAGUGAGCCUUUGUGCCCUGUAUUUAUGUGUUCAUAACACAUGCACCAUUGUCAAAAAGUGAUAUUUUAGGUCAGUCAUCAUCACUAACAAUAGUUUAUGGCACUAAUCAAAUAACACUUGUAAAAGUGCCUCAUAAUAAAGGCCAUCAGAACAUGAUGAAACAUAAUAAAACACCAAAAACACAAUAAAUCUAAGCACACACAAAAAUAAAGUUUGACUAGCCUGAAAGAUUCCCUCCAGACAUGGUAUAAGACAUCAAAAUUCUCUGCUUGGAAUAAGACCUUGUGUCUGAAUUAAUUAUGUAGUUAAAAAUUCUUAAAAUGAUAUCUACUUCUUCUCUAUCAUUGAAAAAUGAAAAUAUUUCAUAUUCAUUUCAAAGGUUUAAUUGCUGGACACAAGAUGUCUCCUACUUCAGUGAAAAGUCCAUUCUCAGUGUAUAUGCAUUGGAGGCUUCAAGUUUCCACAUUACACUUGUGUAAGUUGCACACUGGACCACUAUUGGCUUCAAACUUGUGUUGUCACAAAAUCAUGUUCAUAUGUACAUUUCUUAAACUCAGAUUUAAGGAAGCACAGUGAAACAUUCUCCCUUCAUCAGAUAAAGGUGAAAACAGCCUUCUAGUAUCAAAGUCUUUACAUACAUCAUUCUGCACAACGAAGCUCAAACAUCCCAGUGAAGGAAUAAUAAGUAAAAUACAUUUUUAAGAGCAGGAGGACUUUAAAGAUGAACAUUACAAAUUAGAUUUGCAACUGUGGUACACUGGUCUGAGGUGCACUCCACACAUUCUUCUUUUAUAAAUACCAGUUUAUGUGUGGGGAAUUGUCAUAGUUAGCCACUAUGCCCCCUGAUCCUCUUGUACUCUUUUGUAUCUGCCCUCCCUUGUGUUUCUUGGCUGUCCCCUGUCUGUUGUUGUCUGUAAGUGUGUGUUCUGGCUGGCUCUCCGAUCUCCCGGCUGCGGUUGAUUACCGGCACACCUGUUCUCCAUCAUCUAUCACAACAGUUUAUCUACUGGGCUCAUCCACACUUCCUGCGCCAGAUCGUCUUCAUACCCGUAUCUACGCCUUGUCGGUAAUCUCCGUUCCAGUCAUUCCCCGGAUCCCCGAGACUUCCACUCCACGCCAGCGGUCACGACGCUCCUGUUCCCCCGACUCCCGGACUUCAGUACCAGGUUUCACGGACCCAUCGCCAGGUCAGCCCAGCCUGCCGCCACACCAGCCAGCCCAGAACCAGUCCCCGUCGUCUCCGCUCAAAGAGCCGCCACUCGGCCUCGGUCCUGGUCCCGUCGAGUCCACGGAACGAGCACGAACAACGCCGGACACUACAUAUCUCCUUGACGACAACAAUAAAACUGUUCGAGCCCUUAUCUGCUCUGUCCGUGUGUCCUGCUUUUGGGUCCCCAGUUCGGCCUCCCGACAAGAAUGACAUAUAACCAGCUACUUCAUUAGUCAGAAUUAAAUUAAUCUAUAAUUAAAAUUAUAUGCAAAGAAGAACUUCUAUUCUUUCCAACACUACAGUUGUUAUUGCUACCUCACUACUGCUGCUGCUUCUGCUAUUUUUAUUACUACGGUGUGUUACUACAGCUUCCUCUUCCUCCUCCUCUUUCCUACCACUACCAACAGAAGACCAUUAUGAUACACUGAAAACUUUGAUAAUGUCUUGACAACACAGGCUGUUCUCCCUGCAGCGCUGAGCGGUGUAUUAAUAUCGGUCUGGAUUGGUGAGUGUUGCUGCUGUUUAGGUGGUGACCUUGUUGACUCUGAGAAGUCUGCUCUCACAUUCUUCACAUUUCCCACAGUCAUCCUCAAACCCCCCUUCUACAAACUUCUACAAACUUUUCUUAGAGGCAGAGCUGCUCUGGAUGCACACAUCAUCGUAUUGGCUCAAUUAAAACUUAAUGGGUACUAAAUGUUUUUGGCUCAAUUACCCUGUUAAAAAAAAAAAUAAAGACUUCAUAUUCUGAAGCCUA